UGACCUCGGAUCAGGUAGGAAUACCCGCUGAACUUAAGCUUAUCAAU
rnacentral:rRNA from 1 species